UUUGGUUCAUGCUAAAAAUAUAGCACAUUUAUUAAAAAUAGAUAUUUAUAAACAUUGAUAUGAACAGACACAGAUGUUAGGCAAAUAAGAAAGGAAAAAUAACCAUACAAUGUAUUUCUCCCAACAUUUUAUCAGGUUUAGGCAGACCUUGCUCAAUGGAAUUGGUUUUUUCAUGAUUGCACCAUAUGUUCAUUCUAAAUAAAAAGCUUUCAGAGUCAAUGUAAGUAAAAGCAAAAACCAAGAGAAAAAAGUCAUUUGACAUAACAGACACGUGAUCUGUGCUAUGAAGCUACCUUUGAGUUCAAUCUCUGUGGGUAUACGGUAUACAUUUCUAAUUGUAUAUAGUGUAUAGUUUCUCUCUUUAUUGUUUUUUUUUUUUAUCGUGUUAAAACAACAUAUCCCUGGUGGAUUUCCUCAAAGCUACAACUUACAUAAUUGCAGUCAUUUUCCUCCAAACUGAAAACCAAACCAAAAGGAAGAGGGCAAGACAGAAGAGUUGAGCUUGUUACUGUGUGGAAAAGUCUUGUUAAAUUAAUUGUGCUUCAGCCUUCGCUGCCUGCAGGCAGCGCUUAUACGAUGUGUUAAUAUAAUACAGAGUCAAUUCUGAUUAAACAACUUGUCAAUAGUCAGCAAUGUUUGUUGUCAGUCUUAAUGGCCGUUUUAUCUGGUCUAUUUGCAUGCCUUCUAGUUUACAGCGUUGUGUAAAUAUACACAAAAAUGAUCACAAUGAGGUUCAGAAUUGUCCCAAUAAUUCCAAGCAUUGCCAAGAUGGUUUCUUCUUUGCUUUCCUUUUCUUGACUGCCUUUAUCUUCUUCAUUUCCACUAGUGAUUACCAUCUUGGUGGCCAGUUUCUUUAUCCUCCCCUUCAGGAUAACCUAGAUUGCAUCAGGAAGACAUGAGAAGCACAUAGCAUGCUGCAGAGAUUAAGCUCAGCAUGGCAUUCAGAUAUCCUCUGGAAUUGAAGAAAAUUGUCCAACCCAUUCUUCCUAACAAAGCAGACAAGUUUUCUCUAGGCUUGAAUUUUUCACCAGAAGUCAGAUCCUUACAGUGCAUUAUAUUUUCUUCUUCAGGAGAUAUAUUUCCUCCAGUUAAGUCUCAGCUCCGCAAUGCCAUUUCCAAUCAGCUCUAAGAAGUUCUUCAUUCUCAGAUUCGUGGUGUCAUCAGAGGCACAAAUGUUGAAUCAUUUAACGGUUUAAAGCAGAGGUUCACCCAAGUGGUGGUCCAUAGACUCCUGUCAGUGGUCUGCAGCUGAAGGUUUAUAGCAGUCUGGUUACAUGGUACACAAUUCCCUACGGAGAACACGUGUACGUGGGGACAGGCCGCCGCAGAGGAUGGCAGAGGGAAGCUGGCAGGCGGUGGGUCCCCGAGGAGCCCCCGCAGCGGGUGGGCGCGCUGCUCCCACCGUUUGCAGCGAUGCAGCAGGCACCGGGCUACCGCCGGGCUUUGGCACGUCGCUCUCAGGCGGUUGCUCGGGUGAGGGCAGUGAGCUGUGAAGCUGCUCCCCGCCUCGGCGUUACCAUCUCACCAGCCACGCAGUCCGCGGGAAAAACAUCGCCUUCAAGCACUAGCGUCAUCUCCAUUGAGGAUGUAGGGCUGUCUGUCUGGGAGCAGCAUUACGUACCACACGGGGAUACGCGCCGGGUUCAACACUGACACCUUCUUCUCUCAGAGGGAAACGAGGACCCC
rnacentral:lncRNA from 1 species